AUUGAACGCUGGCGGCAGGCCUAACACAUGCAAGUCGAACGAGUGGCGGACGGGUGAGUAAUGUCUGGGAAACUGCCUGAUGGCGGGGGAUAACUACUGGAAACGGUAGCUAAUACCGCAUACCAUCAGAUGUGCCCAGAUGGGAUUCGCUUGUUGGUGGGGUAACGGCUCACCAAGGCGGCGCUCCCUAGCGGGUCUGCGAGGAUGACCAUCCAGACUGGAACUGAGACACGGUCCAGACGCCUACGGGAGGCAGCAGUGGGGAAUAGUGCACAAGGGGCGCAAGCCUGAUGCAGCCAUGCCGCGUGUAUGAAGAAGGCUGUCGGGUUGUAAAGUACUUUCAGCGGGGAGGCGUUACCCGCAGAAGAAGCACCGGCUAACUCCGUGCCAGCAGCCGCGGUAAUUC
rnacentral:rRNA from 1 species